rnacentral:rRNA from 1 species
AGGAUCAUUAAAGAAUCGCCCCGUUUUUCGAAAUGGGUUCUAUUCCCAAACCGUGUAUACAUACCUUUGUUGCUUUGGCAGGCCGCCUUCUAGGCGUCGGCUUCGGCUGACUGCGCCUGCCAGAGGACCCAAACUCGUUUGUUUAGUGAUGUCUGAGUACUAUAUAAUAGUUAAAACUUUCAACAACGGAUCUCUUGGUUCUGGCAUCGAUGAAGAACGCAGCGAAAUGCGAUAAGUAAUGUGAAUUGCAGAAUUCAGUGAAUCAUCGAAUCUUUGAACGCACAUUGCGCCCCUUGGUAUUCCGAGGGGCAUGCCUGUUCGAGCGUCAUUAUAACCACUCAAGCCUCGGCUUGGUCUUGGGGUUCCGCGGUCUCUCGCGGCCCUUAAAAUCAGUGGCGGUGCCAUCUGGCUCUAAGCGUAGUAAUUUUCUCGCUAUAGGGUCCCGGUGGUCUCCUGCCAGAACCCCCCAUUUUUUUUACGGUUGACCUCGGAUCAGGUAGGGAUACCCGCUGAACUUAAGCAUAUCAAUAAGCGGAGGAAAAGAAACCAACAGGGAUUGCCUCAGUAACGGCGAGUGAAGCGGCAACAGCUCAAAUUUGAAAUCUGGCUCUUUCAGGGUCCGAGUUGUAAUUUGUAGAAGAUGCUUUGAGUGUGGCUCCGGUCUAAGUUCCUUGGAACAGGACGUCAUAGA